AGACCAUGAUAUGGAAACUUGUGCAACAUUAACUUAAAGUGUUCCCAUGCAUCAUAUAAUGACUCUCAUUCCGAUUGUCAAAAAUUCAUAAUAUCCAUACGAAGUUU
rfam:Gossypium arboreum cultivar AKA8401 contig_229_9, whole genome shotgun sequence.